rnacentral:rRNA from 1 species
AUUGAACGCUGGCGGAAUGCUUUACACAUGCAAGUCGAACGGCAGCACGGGUGCUUGCACCUGGUGGCGAGUGGCGAACGGGUGAGUAAUACAUCGGAACGUACCCAGUUGUGGGGGAUAACGAGUCGAAAGAUUCGCUAAUACCGCAUACGACCUGAGGGUGAAAGCGGGGGACCGUAAGGCCUCGCGCAAUUGGAGCGGCCGAUGUCUGAUUAGCUAGUUGGUGAGGUAAAGGCUCACCAAGGCGACGAUCAGUAGCUGGUCUGAGAGGAGGAUCAGCCACACUGGAACUGAGACACGGUCCAGACUCCUACGGGAGGCAGCAGUGGGGAAUUUUGGACAAUGGGGGAAACCCUGAUCCAGCCAUUCCGCGUGAGUGAAGAAGGCCUUCGGGUUGUAAAGCUCUUUCGGCAGGGAAGAAACGCUCUGGCUUAAUACGCCGGGGUAAUGACGGUACCUGAAGAAGAAGCACCGGCUAACUACGUGCCAGCCGCCGCAGUAA